UACGAAGGGUGCAAGCGUUACUCGGAAUUACUGGGCGUAAAGCGUGCGUAGGUGGUUCGUUAAGUCUGAUGUGAAAGCCCUGGGCUCAACCUGGGAAUGGCAUUGGAAACUGGCGACCUAGAGUGCGGUAGAGGGCAGUGGAAUUCCCGGUGUAGCAGUGAAAUGCGUAGAGAUCGGGAGGAACAUCUGUGGCGAAGGCGACUGCCUGGACCAGAACUGACACUGAGGCACGAAAGCGUGGGGAGCAAACAGG
rnacentral:rRNA from 1 species